rnacentral:rRNA from 1 species
UAACGCGUGGGCAACCUGCCCUGUACAGGGGGAUAACACUUAGAAAUAGGUGCUAAUACCGCAUGAGCGCACAAAGGCGCAUGCCUAUGUGCGGGAAGCCCGCGAGGGCGGUACGGGAUGGGCCCGCGUCUGAUUAGCCAGUUGGCAGGGUAACGGCCUACCAAAGCGACGAUCAGUAGCCGGCCUGAGAGGGUGGACGGCCACAUUGGGACUGAGACACGGCCCAAACUCCUACGGGAGGCAGCAGUGGGGGAUAUUGCACAAUGGGGGAAACCCUGAUGCAGCGACGCCGCGUGAGUGAAGGAGCGUUUCGGCGCGUAAAGCUCUAUCAGCAGGGAAGACAAACUGCCCCGGAAGGGGCAGCCGGACGGUACCUGACCAAGAAGCCCCGGCUAACUACGUGCCAGCAGCCGCGGUAAUACGUAGGGGGCAAGCGUUAUCCGGAUUUACUGGGUGUAAAGGGAGCGUAGACGGCAAGACAAGCCUGGAGUGAAAGGCGGGGGCCCAACCCCCGGACUGCUCUGGGAACUGUCUGGCUGGAGUGCAGGAGGGGUAAGUGGAAUUCCUAGUGUAGCGGUGAAAUGCGUAGAUAUUAGGAGGAACACCAGUGGCGAAGGCGGCUUACUGGACUGUAACUGACGUUGAGGCUCGAAAGCGUGGGGAGCAAACAGGAUUAGAUACCCU